GGCUGGUUAGCUCAGUUGGUUAGAGUGUGGUGCUGGUAACACCAAGGUCCAGGGUUUGAUUCCUGUACCAGCCA